GGUUUCGUGGUGUAGUUGGUUAUCACGGCAGUCUAACACACUGAAGGUCUCCGGUUCAAGUCCGGGCGAAAUCA
rnacentral:tRNA from 1 species